GCCGGGUGCGGUGGCACACACCUGGGAUCCCUGUGCCUUGGGAGGCUGAGGCAGGAGGAUCUUAGGUUCAAAGCCAGCCUCAGUGAGACCCUGUCUCUA
rnacentral:sRNA from 1 species